ensembl:lncRNA novel transcript, sense overlapping NIPA1
GAGAGGCGUCAGGAUCCCUGGCGCCGCCUGAGCCAGCGGCUGCUAGGAGGCUGUGUCCGCAAGCCAGCGGGGCGAGGCGGCUGGGCCCUGCGCGUCAGGUCCCGGCCUGGGGCACCGGGGCUGCCAGCGUCGGAGGAGGCCUGAGAACUGGGAGGAAGCUGGAGAAAAGAUGCCCUCUGAAUCUUUGUGUUUGGCUGCCCAGGCUCGCCUUGACACCGAAUGGUUGAAAACAGAUAUACAGAUGAUAGUGUCGAACCAAGUGGAACAAAGAAAGAAGAUCUGAAUGACAAAGAGAAAAAAGAUGAAGACGAAACUCCUGCACCUGUAUAUAGGGCCAAGUCAAUUCUGGAGACCUGGGUGUGGGUCAAGCAACCAGGAAACGGAAGCCCAAAGAGGAGGGGAGCUUACAGCAGGCCCUGGACUAGGGAUUAACACAAAAACAACAGCAACAAAUCUGAUUUAAGCUUCACACAUGCUGGAAUGCAGUGGCGUGAUCUCAACUCAUUGCAAGCUCCACCUUCUGGGUUCAUGCCAUUCUCCUGCUUCAGCCUCCUGAGUAGCUGGGACUACAGGCGCCCAACACCACACCUGGCUAAUUUAUUGUAUUUUUUAGUAGAGACGGGGUUUCACCUUGUUAGCCAGGAUGGUCUCGAUCUCCUGACCUCGUGAUCCACCCGCCUCGGCCUCCCAAAGUGCUGGGAUUACAGGCUUGAGCCACCACGCCCAGACUUGUGAGGUUUUAAUAUGAAGUAUUAAAGCUAUGCUGGUUAGACAAUUUGGAAAAUGUUUCUUCUCCUAUUUCUGACAGAGUUUAUGUAAGAUGUGUGCUAUUUCUUCCUUAAGCAUUUGGAAAGAAUUCACUUAUUAAGCCAUGUGAGACUGUAGUUUUCUUUAUAAGGUGUUUAACUACAGGUUCAAUUACAUAUAUAUAAAUAUUCAUUUUGGUAACCUGUGUUUGCUGAAUCAAUUUGUUCAUUUUAUCGAAAAUUUCAAAGUUAUUCUAUUAUUCAUUUAUCUUUUUAAUACUUAUAAAGUCUCCGGUUAGAGUUUGUGCCUUUUGUCUGUUUUGUUAAUCAAUCUUGCUGGAGGCCAUCAAUUUUAUUAGUGUUUCAAAAAAGCAAACUUUGAUUUUAUUCAUCCCUUUACCAUACUGAAAAUGUUUUGCUUAAUUUCCAAACUUAUAGUUCCACUGUGAUUAAAUAUUUGUAUAACUAAAACUCUGUGGAAUUUGUGUCUUCUCAAUGAUUGAAAAUAUGAUUAAUUUUUAUAAAUAUUGCUUCUGCACUUGAAAAGGAUAUGUAUUCUGCAUGUUGAGCGUAGUGUACCACGUAUCUCAGUUAGGUCCAGUGUGUUAAAUGCAUCCUUUAAAGAUUCUAUGUGCUUACUGAUGUUUGUUUAUUUUUCAGUGGCUGAGACACAGAUAUUAAAGUUUCCCACAAUGAUCAUCAA